rnacentral:rRNA from 1 species
CUUGUUGGUGGGGUAAUGGCCUACCAAGGCGACGACGGGUAGCCGGCCUGAGAGGGUGACCGGCCACACUGGGACUGAGACACGGCCCAGACUCCUACGGGAGGCAGCAGUGGGGAAUAUUGCACAAUGGGCGAAAGCCUGAUGCAGCGACGCCGCGUGAGGGAUGACGGCCUUCGGGUUGUAAACCUCUUUCAGUAGGGAAGAAGCGAAAGUGACGGUACCUGCAGAAGAAGCGCCGGCUAACUACGUGCCAGCAGCCGCGGUAAUACGUAGGGCGCAAGCGUUAUCCGGAAUUAUUGGGCGUAAAGAGCUCGUAGGCGGUUUGUCGCGUCUGCUGUGAAAGACCGGGGCUCAACUCCGGUUCUGCAGUGGGUACGGGCAGACUAGAGUGCAGUAGGGGAGACUGGAAUUCCUGGUGUAGCGGUGAAAUGCGCAGAUAUCAGGAGGAACACCGAUGGCGAAGGCAGGUCUCUGGGCUGUAACUGACGCUGAGGAGCGAAAGCAUGGGGAGCGAACAGGAUUAGAUACCCUGGUAGUCCAUGCCGUAAACGUUGGGCACUAGGUGUGGGGGACAUUCCACGUUUUCCGCGCCGUAGCUAACGCAUUAAGUGCCCCGCCUGGGGAGUACGGCCGCAAGGCUAAAACUCAAAGGAAUUGACG